AGAUGCGAUAAUGACCUUUAUUUCGAAAGCUUUCGUUGACUAAAUUGGAAUAAUUCAAUAAGAUAAGUCUGAACUAGAAAUGCAACGCAUAAGCGUUAUUGUCCUUGUUGGGUUAGUAACUGUUGGUGUCACGUUACCAGGGAUACACGCGGACAGUGAACAUGUAGGGCCAUCAGGAAAAACCGGAAGUGCUCCAAAUGCCAAUAACGCCAACAAUCCCGCAACGAAUCCAGAACAGAUAUUAAGACAACAGUGUAAACGAAUUUGUGCCAACCAAGGCCCGUGUCCACCAGAAUGUGCGGAGGCCUUGAUGGACCCCUGGGCUCAGGAUUCGGUUGGCAGAUAACAUUGCGUUUCGAUUAUACUUAUGCUUGUUGUGUGGUGUAAAGCUUUUGUCGAUUAAAGUGUACUUCCAAAG